UUCUGCGAUAAUUUUAAAGAUCGAAACAGAAAUUGUGUGUGUUUCAAUAAGCCAAUGGUUGAAUUUCAUUGUUGAUGACAUACAAGAAAAAAUUCAUGAAGAUUUCCUAGAAUAAAGUUUUGAGGUGUAGAAUUUUUGGCAACUGCAAACAGAGUCUAGCACCCAGAAAAUAUUUAUUCGCAGUGAGUCGCCCAGGAAAUUUAGAGGACUGUUAUACUCAUUCGACGCCACUUUUCGACCAAUCAAAAUCCAAGAAAUUUCCAUUUUGGGCUACAAUGAUGGUUUUUCACCUCGUAGCUUCCAUAGAAAUAUCUUAUGGUAGUGUUAGUCUCAAAAACACGCAAAUUUUCACAGGUUUUUUGUUUGUAUCCAUUCAGUACCUUCCAGAUCAACAGUCAAGAGUUUUUUUUAUUGCUUAGAUAUUUGACUUUAUGGCACAUAAGGGAUUUAAAGGAAGAGUAUUCAAGGAUAAAGGCAAAUUAAGACCAUACAUAAUAAAAAUCAAUCUUUAUAACCAUCCUUUUGUUUCUCUGCUUGUAUAAUAUGGCAACCUCAUGGAUUUUCUCUGGGUCCUCCUGCUUCCUCUCACUGCUAAAUGUUAGUCCAGAAAUUACAUAUUUUGUGUCGAGUUGAUUUUAAAUACAAUUCCUCUUUCUCUUUAUGGCCAUCCAAAGUUCCUGUUACUUUCUACUGAUUUCAUGUUGCCAUCUGGUUUUUCUCUAACACCUGAAUGAUUUUUCAUCUGUAUAUUUUUUAACAGGUGUAAACCAGCUGUAGAUAUUCUAACCGUUUCUAGGUAAACCAGCUGUAGAUACAGAUAUAUUCUAACCAUUUGUAUAUUUUGUAACAGCUAACCCAGCUGUAGAUAUAUUUUAAGAAAGGGUUUAGAAGAUUUAAAUAAAAUGUGUGAACAUGUUUUACAGACAUUUGAAAACAGUGUAUCUGAGUUUAAAGAAUUGCAACCAGAAGAUGUAGAAAUGUCUGAUCAAUGAUGUUACUAUAAGAAGUUUAUAUUGUCUUAGUGAUAUAUAAUGUAUAUAUGGCUGCAGGUCUUAUACACAGGUUAUCCAUAAUAGAUGAAAGACAUUGAAUUAUUUGCAACUGGAAAGUUACCGUGACUUUUGGAUAUGGAUGGAAGCUAGGUUAUUUAAUAUUAUAGGUGGGGAGUCAGAAGAUGGUAUUUGGGUUGCGCAAAAUUACGCAUAGAGGUUAAGAACAAAAAUGCAUCACAGUAAUGUCUGUCGAAGAAUAUAAGUGUGGAAUUCUUUACCAACAAUGGUUUUAUAUUUUGUUCAUGUGCAUCUGCAAGGAAUAUAUUUUGUUCAUCUGUAAGGAAAAUAUUUUACAUCUUAAAUUCAUAUACAUGUAUCCUUAAAAUCUCUGAUUUUCAUUUCAGUGAUUUUAAAUCCCUUGUAAAAUACAAUAUUGUGAAAGUUGGAUAUAUAAAAGGAAUAUCAAUCUGUCCAGUACUUAAAAAGCAGGGGUGUAUAUUUUUCCACAAUGUACCUUCUUUUCCUCAAUAUAUACUUUCUGUUCUUCCUCACAACGCUGCCCCAGUGACCCACACUUUUAGCAUCAUUUUGGCAUAUAUCUGGGGUGCAUGUAACUGAGGUCACGAAUCAAAAUGACAAUGAUGUUGCUCUGUUCAUUGAACUUUUUCAACUUAUUGAGGGUAAAUCGUACGCUGAAGCACUUUGUAAGAGGGUUGGCACUAUUAAAAUUGAAGAAUUUGUUGUUUAUUUUUCAGAGUUAAUAAAGUGAUUUUUUCUU